rnacentral:rRNA from 1 species
AGAUUAAGUUAUUAAGGGCGCACGGUGGAUGCCUUGGCACUAGAAGCCGAUGAAGGACGUUACUAACGACGAUAUGCUUUGGGUAGCUGUAAGUAAGCGUUGAUCCAGAGAUUUCCGAAUGGGGGAACCCAACAUGAGUUAUGUCAUGUUAUCGACAUGUGAAUUCAUAGCAUGUCAGAAGGCAGACCCGGAGAACUGAAACAUCUUAGUACCCGGAGGAAGAGAAAGAAAAAUCGAUUCCCUGAGUAGCGGCGAGCGAAACGGGAAGAGCCCAAACCAACAAGCUUGCUUGUUGGGGUUGUAGGACACUCUAUACGGAGUUACAAAAGAACAUGUUAGACGAAUCAUCUGGAAAGAUGAAUCAAAGAAGGUAAUAAUCCUGUAGUCGAAAACAUAUUCUCUCUUGAGUGGAUCCUGAGUACGACGGAGCACGUGAAAUUCCGUCGGAAUCUGGGAGGACCAUCUCCUAAGGCUAAAUACUCUCUAGUGACCGAUAGUGAACCAGUACCGUGAGGGAAAGGUGAAAAGUACCCCGGAAGGGGAGUGAAAGAGAACUUGAAACCGUGUGCUUACAAGUAGUCAGAGCCCGUUAAUGGGUGAUGGCGUGCCUUUUGUAGAAUGAACCGGCGAGUUACGAUCUGAUGCAAGGUUAAGCAGCAAAUGUGGAGCCGCAGCGAAAGCGAGUCUGAAUAGGGCGUUGAGUAUUUGGUCGUAGACCCGAAACCAGGUGAUCUACCCUUGGUCAGGUUGAAGUUCAGGUAACACUGAAUGGAGGACCGAA